UACAGGGGGGUGCAAACGUUGCUCGGAAUCAUUGGGCGUAAAGCGCACGUAGGCGGUUUGUUAUGUCGGAUGUGAAAGCCCUUGGCUCAACUAAGGAAGUGCAUCCGAAACUGGCAAGCUGGAGUACUAAAGAGGGUCGCGGAAUUCCCGGUGUAGAGGUGAAAUUCGUAGAUAUCGGGAGGAACACCGGUGGCGAAGGCGGCGACCUGGGUAGAUACUGACGCUGAGGUGCGAAAGCGUGGGGAGCAAACAGG
rnacentral:rRNA from 1 species